UCCACCUCGUGGUCGUUAAAGUCUGUUAUUGUGGUUUAAUGUCGUCUUCACUGAAAUGUGUUCUGACAAUUUUUGUUCCGGUUUUCUUAUAAAAAGGGCUUGUUCGAGGAAGCAAAGAGAGUUGUUAGAUGUCUUCCGAUUCCACUGAUGAUGAAUCUGAACGUUCGUCAGCUCCGAACUUUCCUGAAUAUGAGAUAUGUAUGAGCGAGAAAUUAGACGGUAUUUUGCCAUCGCAUGUCGUCAACAUUGAAACAAAUAUGGCUAUACGCUGUUUGUGUUAUUUUUCAUCCUUGAAAAGUUUCUUGUACAGUUACAGGAGCGAUGCACUAGGACUUAUAAGUGAAGAUUUUAAAUCUGAUGUGAAGAAAUUCAUGGAUAUAAAAUUUGAAAAGAACUCGAAAAAUUGUUUGUUGGCUUUUAACCCAGAUACAAAAUGGGCCGUAUCUUGGGACGGUUCUUUAAUCGCUGCAAGUGCAACACUCAAUCAUCGUCACAGAUA